UACGAAGGGGGCUAGCGUUGCUCGGAAUCAUUGGGCGUAAAGAGCGUGUAGGCGGCCCGGUAAGUCCGCCGUGAAAGUCCAGGGCUCAACCCUGGAAUGCCGGUGGAAACUGCCGGGCUGGAGUCCGGAAGAGGCGAGUGGAAUUCCUGGUGUAGCGGUGAAAUGCGCAGAUAUCAGGAGGAACACCAAUGGCGAAGGCAGCUCGCUGGGACGGUACUGACGCUGAGACGCGAAAGCGUGGGGAGCAAACAGG
rnacentral:rRNA from 1 species